CCCCUUCUUCCCCUUAAUUCUGAAUAGUUCAAUAAGUCCAUUUCCAAAUGUUGGAAUGGACAUUCUACAAAAAAUGUUUUUGUUCUAGUAGCAUCCUAUCCUGUUCUAUCGCCUGCUCUACCAUACUCCCCCUAUUUAUACAUGGCUCAAGCCAUGUAUCAAUUUUGCUGCAUUUCUUAACAAUGUCUUUUGUAAGGUUAGUAAAUUAUCCUUAUGUCAGCCCUUCUCUUGUAGGAUUGCCCCCUUUCAUAUACCACAUGUCCAAUUCUCCCUGGGGCAUUCAUCCUUAGCUACCCUGUGCAUUUCUCUAUCAAGUGUCCUAUCUUCUUUAAGAUUGAACAACUUCUUUCAACUAAAUUAUCAUAUCUUUUCCUAGCGAAUUUUACCAAACAUAACUUAAAAUCAUAACUAUAAUACAUGCCUAUGGAGCCGAUAGGAUAUUAAUACAUGGAGAGACUAACUAAAUGAACCUAACAUCUUCUAUUCUUAUGUCUUUUCUGUCUCUCCAGUGUUAUUUCUGUCCUCACCUGUUUAUAAUUUAACUAUGCUGGUCUCCACUCACUAACCGUUAUCUAAUUCUUCUAUGUUACUUUUAUCUUCUCUUCCUUGUUUAUGCUCUCCUCCUUCUUCUUCCAACCCAUCAAGGUCUCAGCAGUGCAGGGGAGUACUAAAUGUCUCAUGGUCUUAUUACAUAGCUACUUACAUUUAUCUCGAUACCCUCAAUAAUCCUGGAUUCCCUACAGAUGUCAUAUAUUCCUGUCCUGUUGGCUUAAGUCUACCAUUAUUAACCUGUUUUAUCAACAAAAUAUAAUAUUACUAUUAUAUUAAUUCCACAGUCUUGUUGUGUUAAAUCUCUUCCACUAAAUACAACCACAGCUGACUUCCUAAGGGAAAAUAAACUUAUCUAGAUAAUGUAAAAAGUACCUCUACUUAUCAAACGAUAUUCACGUAACAUAAUCAGAUCAAAAUGACUAAUCUGAACUACUCCCCAAAGAAAAAUUAUUGUACCCUUUUCGUCAUUUUGUCUUCUCAUUGGUUCAAAUGAUCAAUUGUGUCUAAGAACUUUAACUCCAUCAUAAUUAUCAGUUCUCCUAGCUUCCUUAAAGUUAGUAUCCCAAAUGACCUUAAAUUCACCAUCCAAUGGCUUUUCAUUGCGGCUGAUCAGACCACAAAAGGAAAAGUCACCAGUGGGGUCAAAAAAGUCAUAACCCCUUUUCAGAACCGUUUUUUCUUUCUUACUACAUUAGACAAAUGAAAGCUAAUAACCUUAUCUACAUUUCGUAUCUCAAGUUCCUAGAACAUUCCCUAUCAAAAGAAUUUCACGUGUUAAAUUAAAACUCAGAAAAUAAAACUUUAAAAUGCCAUGUGUGUCUACCCCUUUAAGAUAUCCUGUCCCUAGGAAUUUUUCCCCAAAGAGCUAAGCGCUCCAUAUUCCAUAAAAUAACCACUUGGUCAGCAUUUCCUCAUACUACACCGAUUCAGAAACCCAAAAGUUAACUACAAACAAAACCUAAAAAUGCUUAUACUUCCAUUGUACUCCCCCCAAUCAUUAGUUUUAAACUUAAUUGAACAUGCGCUACCCUUGGAUACAAUACUGUACUUCAAUCUAUGAAACCCCAUAUUUUAACGUACUAUUUAACCAAUUUGACCCAAGAUUGCUUAAAACCCUAAAACCCUUUCAGUUUGUCUGCAAACCGGCACAUUCUGUUUGCUAGGAAUACCCUGCCAUUAUACACAACUGUGAUUAAUGUGCACCUUCCCAGUUAAUUAUAAAAUUAACUCCACCUGUAAUUCACCUUAAUGACUUGAUAUUUUUCCUUGCAAUGUUCAAUUCACUGGUGUUACUAAACAAUCAAUACCACGAAUCAAUAACCAGAAUUUAUCACAAAACAAAACGCGUUCUGCCUUUCCUCUAUCACAAGAUUAAAACCAAUAUUCCAACUGUAUCUCUCUUUCGGCUUCACACUUAUGAAAUGUCUAUGUCCUUAUAUGUACCAUGUAAAUCGCCAUACUUAUAAAAAUAACAUCAUUCAACUCUUUCUCUGUAUGCCAUUUCCAGCAACAGAGAACGUAUUAUAUCAAAAUUCUCUCGCUAUUAUUUUCUAAUUAGUUAGCCUUUCAAUUUAAACUAAUCAAGCUAUCAAAACGUUACAUUUAUAUCUUAAACAAACGCUAGCAACCGUAUCUCUCCAGGUUAAUUUUCUAUGCACCCGACUGUGUAUUGACGCUCCGGACUGAGAGUCACUUCAGUCCGCCCCAAUUUCACGGAAUGCACUAUUCCAAUGUAUCUGACUGUAUAUUAAUGUCUCCAACUAAACGCCACUUCAGCCGGACAGAAACUCACAGAUACGUUUUACCAAUCCCAGUUUACUAACUCUACUUGAGUAGUUAUACCGAUCCCAGUUUACUGACGCUACUCGGUUCUAAUCGUGAUCAAUCCCAGUUUU
rnacentral:lncRNA from 1 species